CAAUGGCCUCUGCAAAAGGGUGGGGCUUAAGGGGUCGGGUGCUGGAGCCCGCUCCCGAAAAAGAUGCCAGGGCUCCGUUGGUGGAGACAGGAAGAGUAGAAAGAAGAGCGUAUCAGCGGUGACGGGGGCGGAUACUUCCUCCGGGAUUGCCCAAUCGCAGAGUCGGGACAGUUUCUAUAAAUGCUUGAGUCUCGCGGCCCCGCGGUCUUUUAGGAUCAAGCACGCGGUUGGAAACGUCGCUGUAGGUUCCCAGUGCUGCACUUUGGAGGGCCGGGACCCUGGCCCAGCGGGGCUUGGGGAGGUGGCCCAAAUUCGUCGGCCAACCUGGUCUCCGGGCUCCUCCCUCAGCCCGAGCGCCCACAUUGGUCUUUAGCUCUCCGCCCGUCUGCCUCCCGCUCUCCGCAGUUCCGUCGGAAGUCCGAAUUAUUUCUGGUUCCCAGAGGACCGUCGGUGACCCGGCUGGAGACCUUGAGGUCAGCGUCUUUCUAAGGGGCCUUGGUUCCCUGACGGGGAUCCUUGGAUUCCAGGUAAAUCCAGGGCCUUUCCCAGCUGCGGCUGGGAAAUGUCUGGCUUUUCCCUCUCUUCACGGUUUCUGCCUCGCUUUUUUUCUAAGGCUUCCCUCUUGGGAGGAAGGCUGGUGUUUCGUGCCUUUUGGGAGGAUAAUUUCUUGAACCUCACUCGCAAACUGUGCCUUGGUCAAACUCAAUGCUAUGUCCGGUAGAAUUCAUACGUCCCUUUAGGCAUCAUCAGGAACGCAGGGUGAACGACUUGGAACCCUCCUGUUGCUCCCACCUCACCCUCUGCCUUCGUGCCACCUUCUGUUACUCCCAAUUCCAGUUCCCCCAAGUUAUUUUUAUUCCCUCUUGGACCCCCUUCACUUCCAGCCUGUGCAGUAUAUUCCCACCUGCAAGCACCCUAUUGCCUGGUCAGUUCCAUGCAGCCCAGUCCCCGGGGGAUAUACUCAAGUAUAGGAAAAUAAGAGAGACGAUAUGGUCAGUUCAGCCAACUGCAGUGUAUCAAGUUUGAUACUCUUUUAAGGUUUUCUAAAAAUCUUUCACAGGCUGUCCCUGAAAGAGAACAGGGUUUUCUUCCUCUUAGAUCAUUUCCUUGAUCUUUUUCAGUGUUUAAUGGCUUUCAAAUACACUUUCUCAUCCCUUCUCACAGGUUGACCUCUCUGCUCCCUAGGGUCAGUCCCCCUGAAACUAGGCAAAAACUCAGUUACAAUUAGACCCAUAAACACAAAUGCCAUAGCUCCUAGAGGUGGCCUUCGAAGUAUUUAGUGAUGGAGAAGGAAAGGACUCACCAUGAAAAAGCCAGACCAAGGCUCAAACUAAAUAGAUAGCCUUUGCUCUCAGCCAUGCUUCAUACAUAACCUCAGGGCAACCCAAAGUGGGCAGGAGGGGUCAACCAUCAGUCUGGAGGUGAAACGAACAAGGGGGGUUUAAGUGUAAGCCAACUAGCCGUUGGCCAGUGAGUACCAGGAGCUCCCAGGCCAUGCCCAGUCUACACACAGGCUAGUCACUGGGGAUGGGACUGCCCUUGGUCGCUAAGGAGGGGGGCCCUUCUCCUGGGAUGGCCAUGCUGGAAGCCCAGGGAUUCUCGUUGCUCCCCCACCACAAGAUGUCUGUAUCCAUCGAGGAGCCCCUGAUGGCAGGUAAGAAU